AUUACUAAAACUGUUAAAAGUCUCACAAUGUUUAAAUCUUUUUAUAUAACUGUUAGAUCAAUGUUUAAAUCUUUUUAUAUAAUAAGAUACAAUGAUAAUAAAAUCAUAUAAAUAAAUAAUUUUAUUUUAAUAGGAGUUAUGUAAAUAUAUAUAUACUUCAUAUCGUUUAAAUUUAAUUAUAUAUCAUAUACGAUAGAUAAGAUUGAUUGUUUUGAUUUAUUUAUCUCAAAAUGAUUGCGAAUCAACAGGAGCGGUCAUUUGAUUUAUAAGUGCAAGGCAAUUUAUUACAUAAUAGUAACUAUUUCUUAGUUAUUUAAUAUAUAAUUAUUAUUUUAUUAUUUCAUAAUAUGCAGAAAAAUAUAAAAUAAGUAAUAAAUAUAAAAUAUUUACUCUACACAAGACGCAUAUAUUAACCUAAGUAUGCAUCUUCUUAACAAUUUUGAAUCUUAAACAUUUUCUAGUUCUCAUACCAAAAUAAAAGAAAUAAAUAAGAAUAAACUCAAAAAUCAGUAUUGAUAUCGAGCAAUAACUAAAAUGACACAAAAAGAAGAAAAAUAUCGAAGAUAGAUAGGAUUGACACGUGAACGUAAACUUCUCAUAACCAUAAUUAACUUUUAAAUUGCUAAAUCAUGAUAUAAAACCGAGGUGGCAUAGUUUCAUUGUUACCAAAUAGUAUGCAUGAAAUUCUUCGGCUUAAACGUUAGGUUUUUAUGCAAUAAAUUAUUUUUUGACCUAAAAUAUUUUUAAAAUAGGAUCAGUUCAUUAGUAAACAAAUUAUGUAAUUAACAAAAAAGUUUUUAAAAAUUUGUAUAAAGGCCAAAAAUAUUAAUUUGAUCAAUAAUAUAAAUUUUGUUUUCCAUACGAUAUUUCUUAAAUAAUUUUCAUAUAAAUUUACUUUGCGCAAGGCGCAUGUCUUAUCCUAGUGAAAUAUGAUUAACAAAAACAAUAUUAUGAUGUCAAGUUAUUGAUUGGAAUCAUGAUUAUUUAUAUAUAUGGCAAAUUCAAAUGAUUGUGAUUUCUUUUAAUUUUAAAAUACAUUACCAAAAGAAGAAGCUAGUUAUCAAAUCAUAUUUGCUGUCCUGCAUAAUGAAUUUUCUAGAAGAAAAGUAUGGUAUAAUACUAUAAUGGUAUCAUCUCUAAGACGUAACACGUUAAAUAAAUGAUUUCUUAAAAACGCAAUAAAGGAGACCACCACCAAAAGAAGAAAUGGCCUAUAGGGUUUUCAAAUUUAAUAUUUCUCAUUGAUGACCAUUUAGGAGAUUCUUUGCCAUCAAAACUUGCUGAAUAUGGUAGACUCUUUUGAUUUUUUUUUUCUAUUUUAAAUCUAAGAAACUUAGUUAGAUAUUAACGAUGGAUGCAAGUGCUCUAUAGGCAGGCAUUCUUAUCUUGGAUAAAAACAUCGUAUGUUUUUUUUUGUAACUUAAAACAUCGUAUGUUUCGUCGAGUGUAACCAAAAGAUAGCAAAUUUGAUAAUAACGAUUGUUUUAUGGUGGUUAAUACUAUGCAAUACAUGUCCAAAUUUCUGUUAGUUGUCUAUGGUACGAUUGAGUCGAUACUCUUUGUCGACAAUUUGUGACUUGUAAUUUUACACGUUGAAUUGUUUGUCCGUUUUUACUAUAAUUACUUUUGAGUGAGAAUCCAGUAUCGGAGUGCAUUGUUGUAGUAGGACACAAAUGGCAAUUUUUUCAUCAAUGGUAAGCUUGAUUAAAAAAAAAAAAAUUCCUAGGAUAGCCUUUUUAGUUUAUUUUUACAAAAAUAGUUUUCAACGAAGAAAAUGACCAAAAUAAAUUUUAUUAAAAAGUAAAAAUAUUUGUAUUCAAGGAUUAAUUAAUCUAGACUUAGGGUUUAGAGUUAAGGAUGGAGUCUUGGGAUCGGGUUUCAGGAUUUUAAAAAGAAAAAAUAAAUAUUAAAAUUUUUAAAAUAAAAAAGAUUAUUUUGAUCUUUUUUUUUUUGAAUGCUAUUUUGUAACAAAACUUAAAAUUUGCUAUUCGAGAAAAAAUUGCCCAAAAAACACAAGUGCUUUUUUAGCGAGAAAAAAUACUUGAGUACUCACGUUUCAUAAUCCGAUCUUUGCAACGCCGAUCGUGAUAUAUACAUGUCAUGGUUAUCAAUAAUUUUUAUCCAAGAUGAGAAAAUAAGAAAAAUGUAGUGAGACCCAUGUGUCAGUAAUUUUUAAAAUGUUAACCUAAUUGUUAUUGAGUUUUAGAGACAAUAUGUCUAUCAUACUUUUCCUAAAAUGUGAUCUAAAACCAAGAUUUUUUGUACAAGUGUAUUUGAACCUAAUAUUAGACAAUACUCCCUCCAUUUCUAAAUAGAUGAUGUUUAGGAAGUUUUUGAUGUUUUAAAAUAGAUGAUUUUUUCAUAUAUCAAUGUAUAUUUUAACGUUAUCAAAACUGUGCAACCAAUGAUAUCAUCUUGUACUCGGUUUUGUGACUGGUUGAAUAAUUUUUAGUUUAUAUUUUAAUGAUAUUUAAAAAAAAAAAUUUAAUAGUUAUGCACAAUCCUAGAACUUCAUGUAUUUUGAAACAGAUAGAGUACAUUUUUAGCAAAACAAUAAUAUACUAGAUUUUGAUCCGCGCUUAGAAAAAGCGGAUUUAUUUGUUUUUCAUUUAUAGAUCAAAAACUGAUUUACAAACUACCAUUAUUUUUGUUUUCAACCAUAAUAAUUAAUAAUUGAAUUUUUAGAUUUUUAUCAUUUAUUUAUUUUUCUUCAAAAUACGGUAUUUAUUCGAAAUAUAGUAGUUGUUCUAUAAUAAUGUUUGAGUUUUAAGAUUUGUUUUCAUAUCCGACCUAGAUUCAUGGUUGAGCAUAUAGACCUGAUACAUUGUAUAUAAUCCAGUUCGGAUUUAAUGAAUAAUUUGUUAAUUAUAAAUCCGAUCUUACCCGGUAAAAACCCAAAAACUCACUAUUAACCUGCGAUCUGAUACCAUAUAGUAUUUGAUCCGAUAAAACACAAAAUAUCUGAUAGUAUUUUUUAAAAAUUGAUUAAAUUACUCAUAUAUUUUUUAAUAUUACAUAAAUUAGUGAUUCCUUAGAAUUUGAUGAAAUUUUAUUAUGUUAUCCAAAUAAAAAAUGAUAAUAUAAAAAAAACUUAUUGAUAUGACAAUAUUAUUUUAUUUUCGUUAUUAAUAACCUAUUAUAAGUUUGUGUUUUUAUUUUAGAUUUAAAAACUGAUUUUAAGAUAGUUUUUAAAAUAUUCUUGAACACUCGUAAUUGCCAUAUCAAUAUUAUGUAUAAAAUGAUACUAUACAUGGAAAAAUGAUAUUCAAAAAUGUAUAUGAUAUAUGAUGUAGGAUAUAGGAUUUUGGCUUGUAUUAAAAAUCUGUUUAAUAUUAAGAUGAUCUAUUUUGAAUAUUGAUUCAUAUAAUUAAGAAAAUAAUAUUUUCAUGUUUGUUAAUUUAUUUAUAGUUCAUAAAAUAUUUACACUUAUAUUAAAUUUAAAGUUAGUAUAUCUUUUAAAUAUAUAUAUAAGUUUAUUAUUUAUAGAUCCAUUUAGGUGUAUGUGUUGAUCCAAAACCAAAAGACUUAAAUGAUAUUAAUGAAUUUUAUUAAUUCCUUGUAAAAAUAAGGUAUUUUUGAGAAAACUGUAAUUUUCAUGAAAGGUAUAAUUUGAGAAUGAUCAUUUUUAAUGGUAUUGAUAUUUGACAAAACCUUUGUCCAAAAAAAAGAUAAUAAAUAAAUAUUAGAUAAAACCUUAGGCUUUAAUCACGAUAGCCCAUAGGGGCCCAAUACAAAGGAUCACUACAUAACAUUUACGUUGUCUGGUAAUCAAUGGUGCGAGUGUAAAUCGUUUGGAACUUCUUUCGAAUCUUGAUAAUAAGUUGGGUUCAUGUGUUUAUAUGUUUAGUGGAAACCAGUUUAGGUUUUUAAAGAUGAAAUAGAGAAUAGAAACUCUACAACGUAGUAAUUUCUUAAGAGGCAGUAAGAAUAUUUCUAAUUUUAUAUCUUUUUCUUAUUGACUAUAAAUAAUUUGGGAAUCUCAAAUAGUUAUCGACACAUGCUAAUAGUAAAGUGAUAAACCAUAUCAGGAGAAAUUACUCAAGAAGAUGAGGAAAAAUCUUGUGAUAAAAGAUUCCGAGUCUCAUCAAAUAGAUUUCGCAUGUCGCCUUCUCGGGUCGCAAUCUUCUACAUGUCCGUCUGUCGGCAAAACCUGUCUUUAAUUCAAUGAUCAUACCCGCUUUUAUUUACUUUCGCUGCGUGUAAUACUACUAUUUAUGAUGAUGUAAUAAAAUGAGUUUUGUUGAGACCAGUAAUUAGUUUUUGUAGAAAAAUACAUCGAUUACUAAUAUGGAUAAAAACAUAAACGAGCCACCUUUUUUAUUCACGUGGUCUUUCAUGCGUAUUGCACCUGGAGCCAACGAAAGCUGAUUUGUUCUUCCUCCUCAGUUCUCUCCCUCUUGUUACUUAUUUCGUGCGUCGUCGUUUGUAUAAAGCAAGUUAGAGAUAUCUAAGAUUAUAUAACUAUAUUAUCUUGACUCGCUUUGACGCCGUAGAUCUCAAAUUUAUUAACUCACAGUACUGUGUUCCCCUUUGGCCAACCGAUUCUUCACUUCUUCUUUUUUUAAUUACCGUGCGCACGUAUACCCUUGUAACCUGAACAUUAUACAAUUACCAUGUCUCCGCCGUUGUUGACUUGCUUUUUUAUCUUCAAUUAUAUAGGAUGUGAUUGGAAACACUUUAACAAGAUUAAAAUAUAUUUAAAAAAUACGGAAGAAAAAAUUUUAGAGUAAAUAAUAGUAAACUGAAUAAAUAAAAUAUUUUCUAUACUGAAUUAUUUUACUGUCGCUUUAGCUUUAAAUAAGAGAGUAAGAAGUUAACAUUUAAACCAGAAAUAUAAAACUAUAUAACAUUUUUUAUGUGAUGGUGAAAAGAGUAACUGAAAAUAAAACAUUAUUUCUCAACCCCAACAAAAACAAUUACAUCGUUAUGUAUUAUAGAUUUAUAACGUAUAUAUACUUAAGUAUAUAUAUAUAUAUAUAUAUUGGGAAACGACAUUUGGAGAUGUGAAUGUGAAGUUCACAUGGGUAUAGUUUGUUUCAGAUUUCUGCGUAGAUUCCAUGAACUGGCAAAAUAAUCAGUUACAGGAAAUAAAAUAAAAUAAAAUAUAAUUUGUAAUGUUGGAUUUUUCCAUAUGUGUUCUAUUAAAUGAAUAAUGUUUUUUAUAUUUAAUGUUCUUACUAAAACAAUUUAUAGCAUUUCCUCUCUAAACAAACGUGACCUGCACAGUAGUAAUGACCAAGUAAAAUUACUCGUCUCCUUUUUUUUUUGAACUACCAAAUUACUCGUCUCCUUUAACUUUUAUUUUUAAGCCUUUUUGAAAACGGUUGAUAAAAAGUUUUUUUUUUAUAACAGUUUAAAUUGUGUUAAUUAAUGAUACUUUUAACAUCAUUGUAUGAUACUUUCCUAUUGUAUUACUUUUGAGUGGUGUAUUAGUAAUUUCAUUUUGGUUAGUUUCAAUUGUUUGUAAAUGGAAGUGGCACAUGACAUGGAGGUAGAGCGUGCCGUUCACCCUCCGGAACGACGGUGGUCAAGUAAAGGUGCUCACUUUCAUGCUUAGACGACACGUACGCAAUUUCCAGACUGUCUAUAGUUAUCUUUUAUUGACGCGACAUCUUCUUCGUGGGCAACACGCGCUGCCGUCUUCUGUUUUAUUUAUAUUUAGUUAUUAAUCAAUUUGUCCUCCCAAAAUAUAUAGUUACUUAUCCAAAGCCUAAAGGUGACUUUGCUUUUGAUUUCGUAGCUAUUAGCUAAUUAACUCUUAAACUUUCCUAAUAGUAUAAUCAUAAAUAUAUAAAAUUAAUGUAUAUUUUUCUUAUAACAUCAUUUUGGCCUUGUAAUAUGUCAAUGAUUAGAUUCUUAUGUCUUGAAUUCAACAUGUUGUCUUUUUAAUAAGAACUAAAAUUUUAUAAUAUUCUUUUAAAAUAAGAAACCUUAAUUUUUGUAAUUUUUUGCUUUUGAUUUACCAAAUGUCUAAAAUAAUUCAAAAUUUACACCACAGCGAAAAUACAUUGGAUAAGCUGAGAAAUAAGAAUGAAUAUCUUUUGUUUGCACAUAAUGAAUAGGAAUUUUGUACUAGAUAGCAAAAUUGUAGACGUAAAUUAGGUAACAGGUAAAGUGACUGUGCAUUUUGCAGUAAUACCUAAAAUGUCUCUAUAAACAUAACAAAAUUAAAUAGAACGACCACUGACACGUAUGAAGCAAAAGAAUGACGAGACUGUUGUACAUAUCGAAAGUAUCAAUAAUGCAAACAAUCUUGAAACUUCUGAUAAUGCAAAGAAUCGGAAAUUCACUUAUGUAGAUAUGCACCCUACUGUCAUAUAUCCGGUUAAUAAUAGUAAAACCCGGAUUAGAUAAAUGUAAUCAUGCUAUAAUUGCAGCCUAUUGACACAUAUACGCGUAUCUCUAGCUCUUGCCUUCUUUAAUAAGAUACUUCUAACAUUUAAGCUCCGUUAUUUGACAGGGAACCGACACCAUCUCCCAACAUGGAUAGUAUUUUGAUUGAUAUAUCAAGAUGAACAGGAUGUCAUGGUCCUAUGGCGUCGAGCACUGCUCAUAUCACUUUCAGCGCAUGAAACAACAUGUUGUAAAAUAUCUUCCUAUCAAUUACAUUUCUGACAAACAAUUUGUAAAAUAUCUCACAACUCUUCUCUCUUCAAUUAUUAGAGCUAUAUCCGAUUUCAAUAUCUUAUAUCAUCAUUUUAAAUGAAUGUAUCUGGUUUCGAAACGUUGAUUGCGUUUGGAAACAGUUGCAAUACAAUAUAAUUUUUUUAGCAUCAGCUCCGGUAGCAGAUAACACAUAUGUAACGAAGAAAUUGUGGCUAGAAGAGAGAAUUGACAACUCAGGGCAAAAUUAACAUAGUUCCCCAAUUAUUUAAAAAAAAUCAAUACUUCUAUAAUUACCUCCUCCAAUUUGCGUAUUUCUAGCUAAAUAGGCCUAAUGAAUAAUCCUAAUUCUGGUAUUCAUGCAAUUUAGGUGCCCCUACCAACUAUGAGUGCCUUCCUGCCACCUCAUAUCGAUUGAUGGGCAAUUCACAUAUAUGUUUGUACAAUUACAUUUUUGGUAACUCUAUUUUAUUAAGUUAUUUAUAUAUGUUCUGCAAGAAUAAUUUGUUAUGACAGAUGAUUUGAUACCACAUUCAUUUUCUGUCUUCCACCACCAGAAGAAAAAUCAAAGGGCGAACUUGAUUGCAAAUUAUACACAGUCAAAUCUCACCACAUUACAUAACACUAGUAUUACAGAAAAAAAACACAACCCUUGAUAAGAAGAUUUCACAAAUUUAAGCAUUUCCAUUCGAAAAGAAAAUGUAUACAUACUAUUAUUCAUCGGGCGUUUACAUUUGCGAGAAUAUAUUUACGUUUUCGGGGGAAAAAAUCCAUAUAUAGACGAACCUUCAAAAUCAUGUGAGAAUAAUUAGUUUUAUUAAUGUAAUAAUGCACUGAUUGUCGAAUCAGAAUGAAGGAAUUUUAAUUUAUAACUUGUUAUUUCCAGUCACUAAUAAUAUCAUCUUAUCUUAAAAAUUAAAGAAUCGUGUUUACGCAUUAAACAUAGGUAUAUAGCGUAACCACCACUUUUCUGUCUGUUGUUGUACGUACAUUUUGAUUACUACUCUUCCGUUGAAUAUAGUUCUAUAAAAGUUCAAAAUAUAGCAACUAUAAUGUAGUGUUCAAGUAGAAUAGCGUAGUAAAAAAAAAAAAAUUGUUUUGAGAAAUGAAAAUGCAUCUGGCUAUAUAUCCGCUCGGUAACGUUAUGCAAAAAAAUAUAUGUUGUCAUCAGUUCUUCUAAUUAUCGUUUAGUUAGAACCUAAGGUGUGUAAGAAAUGGAAGAUGAUAGUGAUAGAUAAAUCACAUGUAUCCGAAUCAAAAAUAUAAUUAAUACGUAGUUGGCAAAGAACUAAAAAAAACUAUUACAGAACGUAUACUAUGAUUUAAUAGUGUGAUUCACAAAGAUUUGGUGGUCGAUGUGCACAUAAAAAACUUAAAUGUAAAUUAUGUUUAUGCCACCGUGUAAGUUGUAACAUAUAACUAAACGUCUAAUUAAUCAGAGUAUAGGCCCACUCAGUGAGUAAUUGAUUUGUAUCAUUUUACUUUACUUUUAUUCAUUAUACUUCUAUGUUUUUACUGUUUUUCAUUUUACUUACUCAUUCCUUUAUUAAUAAGCGAUGUGAAACCAUAAUUUUCUAAGGAAUUACAUAAACAUAAAUAUAUAUUCUCUCCGUUUCAUAUUGUAAGUAGUUUUAGAAAAAAAAAUUAUUUUAAAAUGUAAGUACUUUUAAUAUUUCUAGAUAAUUUUUACAUUAUAACCAAUCAAAUUAAAUAAAUUUAUUUUUGAUUGGUUAAGUUAUAUCUAACCUAUUUAUUAUAUCAUAUUUUUAAAAAUAUAAUAUCUUUUUAAUCUUUGUGCUUUUAACCAAACAGCUUACAUUAUAAAAGAGUACAUUUUUUUAUCAAAUUUUUUUUUGAUCAAAUCAUAAAAAUAUAUGUUUAACCGUUUAAUGUUGUCUUAAAAGAUUGGAAUAUAAUUUAGGUGAUCCUCCUGAUCAUAAUUAUAUAAUUAAUAAUAUUAUGAGUAAAUUUCACAAUGGAAAGUAUUAACAAAAAUGUGAACCAAAUAAAAAUAGCAAGAAAGUGACGUAACAUCACAUUAUAACAUGUAACCAUCAAAGUUAGAAAGGAUAGAGAUCAAAAAUAAAAAAGGACGAACAAAAGAAAAAGGAAUCCGUAAAAACGGCCGUCAACGGAAGCAGACUCAGGGCCUACGGGUUAGAUCUUAGUAAAUAGGACACGUGUAUGAAUCACAUGGAUAGUAGGGACCACAAAUUCGAACGGCGUACAUUUACUGAAAGCAAUACCCUUCGAUGGAUUAUGGGUCCACUACACGUGGAGCCAUCACGUGCUGUCAGUUCGUGUUUCCCGAAGGGUACGAAUAUUUAUUUAAUAAAUUCUAUUUUUAACAUCUGAUAUUGAAGCAGGCCGUUAAUGACGGCGUUAAGCAAUGACUUAGACACUGACGGACGUGGCCGUUAUGCUUAAAACCGGGUUUCCUCGUCGCUCAAUGUGUAGUUAAAAUUGUCAAUUGCUCGAGCGAUAAUAGUGAAAAUUUACUUUAUUUAAUUACCACGGAAAUAAUUUGCAUUACUAGCAAAACGUGAUUUAAAGGCGGUUCAAAUUAGUAAUGGUUCAAACUACCAUUGUUUUUAACCCGGGAAUACCCGAGUCAUAUGGAACUAAUUGCAAGUAGUUAUAAAAUUAGAGGCUCCCUAUUUAUAUUAUUGAACCUUUAGACAAAAUGUUAUGGAUUACAUAUGUUUAUGUGUAUUUAUAUAUUAUACAGUUUUUUGUUAUCUUCCUAAGUUCACAAUGCUAGUUAUAUUAUGUUUAGUCUUUGACAGUAAAAGUAGAUUAGCAUGUUCACUAAACUAAAAUAGGUCUAACUAGACCUUUUCAUGUUCGAUAAAGAAAAAAGAUCCAAGAUGAUGAUUUUAUUCAAAACCUAAUUAGUUUUGUCGAAUCUUUAACGGGAGGAUCCGUGAGUGAUCGCUAUUUUAUUUGUACACAUCUCGAAAAUUAGAGAAUAUAUAUAGGCCUAAUUCUUAAAUAACUAAAACGACUCGAAAAUUAAAACGCAUGGGUCCGAUGAUUUUUCAAAACCCAAUUGCAGAAUAUUUCCAUCGAUUCAUUAAGUUAGAUAAUCUU